rnacentral:rRNA from 1 species
UCGUACGCACUGGCCCAACUGAUUGAUGGUGCUCGCACCUAAUUGACGUUGGAUCACCAGUGAGUGGCGGACGGGUGAGUAACACGUAGGUAACCUGCCCCGGAGCGGGGGAUAACAUUUGGAAACAGAUGCUAAUACCGCAUAACAACAAAAGCCACAUGGCUUUUGUCUGAAAGAUGGCUUUGGCUAUCACUCUGGGAUGGACCUGCGGUGCAUUAGCUAGUUGGUAAGGUAACGGCUUACCAAGGCGAUGAUGCAUAGCCGAGUUGAGAGACUGAUCGGCCACAAUGGAACUGAGACACGGUCCAUACUCCUACGGGAGGCAGCAGUAGGGAAUCUUCCACAAUGGGCGCAAGCCUGAUGGAGCAACACCGCGUGAGUGAAGAAGGGUUUCGGCUCGUAAAGCUCUGUUGUUGGAGAAGAACGUGCGUGAGAGUAACUGUUCACGCAGUGACGGUAUCCAACCAGAAAGUCACGGCUAACUACGUGCCAGCAGCCGCGGUAAUACGUAGGUGGCAAGCGUUAUCCGGAUUUAUUGGGCGUAAAGCGAGCGCAGGCGGUUGCUUAGGUCUGAUGUGAAAGCCUUCGGCUUAACCGAAGAAGUGCAUCGGAAACCGGGCGACUUGAGUGCAGAAGAGGACAGUGGAACUCCAUGUGUAGCGGUGGAAUGCGUAGAUAUAUGGGAGAACACCAGUGGCGAAGGCGGCUGUCUGGUCUGCAGCUGACGCUGAGGCUCGAAAGCAUGGGGGGCCCUUUAAAGAANNNNCCNNNNNNNNCCNNNCNNNNNNGGGGCCCUUUAUGGCAAGGAGGGUUUCCGCCCUUCAGUGCCGGAGCUAACGCAUUAAGCACUCCGCCUGGGGAGUACGACCGCAAGGCCCCCCCCCCUUUUUUUGAAGGGGGCCCGCNCUUGCGGGGGGGGGGGGGGAAAAAAAAAAAGCUACGCGAAGACCCCUACCAGGUCUUGACAUCUUGCGCUAACCAAGAAAAAAAGGCGUUCCCUUCGGGGACGCAAUGACAGGUGGUGCAUGGUCGUCGUCAGCUCGUGUCGUGAGAUGUUGGGUUAAGUCCCGCAACGAGCGCAACCCUUGUUACUAGUUGCCAGCAUUAAGUUGGGCACUCUAGUGAGACUGCCGGUGACAAACCGGAGGAAGGUGGGGACGACGUCAGAUCAUCAUGCCCCUUAUGACCUGGGCUACACACGGGCUCCUUGGAGAAGUACAACGAGUCGCAAGCUCGCGAGAGUAAGCUAAUCUCUUAAAGCCGUUCUCAGUUCG